rnacentral:rRNA from 1 species
CAGCCGCCGCGGUAAUACGUAGGGUGCGAGCGUUAAUCGGAAUUACUGGGCGUAAAGCGUGCGCAGGCGGUUAUAUAAGACAGAUGUGAAAUCCCCGGGCUCAACCUGGGACCUGCAUUUGUGACUGUAUAGCUAGAGUACGGUAGAGAGGGAUGGAAUUCCGCGUGUAGCAGUGAAAUGCGUAGAUAUGCGGAGGAACACCGAUGGCGAAGGCAAUCCCCUGGACCUGUACUGACGCUCAUGCACGAAAGCGUGGGGAGCAAACAGGAUUAGAUACCCCUGUAGUCCCUGUCUCUUAUAU